UACGUAGGGGGCUAGCGUUGUCCGGAUUUAUUGGGCGUAAAGAGCGUGUAGGCGGCCAGGUAGGUCUGCUGUGAAAACUCGAGGCUCAACCUCGAGAUGUCGGCGGAAACCAUCUGGCUAGAGUCCGGAAGAGGCGAGUGGAACUCCUGGUGUAGCGGUGGAAUGCGCAGAUAUCAGGAAGAACACCGACGGCGAAGGCAGCUCGCUGGGACGGUACUGACGCUGAGGCGCGAAAGCCAGGGGAGCAAACGGG
rnacentral:rRNA from 1 species